rnacentral:rRNA from 1 species
GAUGAACGCUGGCGGCGUGCCUAAUACAUGCAAGUCGAGCGAACGGACGAGAAGCUUGCUUUUCUGAUGUUAGCGGCGGACGGGUGAGUAACACGUGGAUAACCUACCUAUAAGACUGGGAUAACUUCGGGAAACCGGAGCUAAUACCGGAUAAUAUUUUGAACCGCAUGGUUCAAAAGUGAAAGACGGUCUUGCUGUCACUUAUAGAUGGAUCCGCGCUGCAUUAGCUAGUUGGUAAGGUAACGGCUUACCAAGGCAACGAUGCAUAGCCGACCUGAGAGGGGGAUCGGCCACCCUGGAACUGAGACACGGUCAAGACUCCUACGGGAGGCAGCAGUAGGGAAUCUUCCGCAAUGGGCGAAAGCCUGACGGAGCAACGCCGCGUGAGUGAUGAAGGUCUUCGGAUCGUAAAACUCUGUUAUUAGGGAAGAACAUAUGUGUAAGUAACUGUGCACAUCUUGACGGUACCUAAUCAGAAAGCCACGGCUAACUACGUG